CUACGUGCCAGCAGCCGCGGUAAUACGUAGGUCCCGAGCGUUAUCCGGAUUUAUUGGGCGUAAAGCGAGCGCAGGCGGUUAGAUAAGUCUGAAGUUAAAGGCUGUGGCUUAACCAUAGUACGCUUUGGAAACUGUUUAACUUGAGUGCAAGAGGGGAGAGUGGAAUUCCAUGUGUAGCGGUGAAAUGCGUAGAUAUAUGGAGGAACACCGGUGGCGAAAGCGGCUCUCUGGCUUGUAACUGACGCUGAGGCUCGAAAGCGUGGGGAGCAAACAGGAUUAGAUACCCUGGUAGUCCACGCCGUAAACGAUGAGUGCUAGGUGUUAGACCCUUUCCGGGGUUUAGUGCCGUAGCUAACGCAUUAAGCACUCCGCCUGGGGAGUACGACCGCAAGGUUGAAACUCAAAGGAAUUGACGGGGGCCCGCACAAGCGGUGGAGCAUGUGGUUUAAUUCGAUGCAACGCGAAGAACCUUACCUACUCUUGACAUCCAGA
rnacentral:rRNA from 1 species